GAUGAACGCUGGCGGCGUGCCUAAUACAUGCAAGUCGAGCGAACGGACGAGAAGCUUGCUUCUCUGAUGUUAGCGGCGGACGGGUGAGUAACACGUGGAUAACCUACCUAUAAGACUGGGAUAACUUCGGGAAACCGGAGCUAAUACCGGAUAAUAUUUUGAACCGCAUGGUUCAAAAGUGAAAGACGGUCUUGCUGUCACUUAUAGAUGGAUCCGCGCUGCAUUAGCUAGUUGGUAAGGUAACGGCUUACCAAGGCAACGAUGCAUAGCCGACCUGAGAGGGUGAUCGGCCACACUGGAACUGAGACACGGUCCAGACUCCUACGGGAGGCAGCAGUAGGGAAUCUUCCGCAAUGGGCGAAAGCCUGACGGAGCAACGCCGCGUGAGUGAUGAAGGUCUUCGGAUCGUAAAACUCUGUUAUUAGGGAAGAACAUAUGUGUAAGUAACUGUGCACAUCUUGACGGUACCUAAUCAGAAAGCCACGGCUAACUACGUGCCAGCAGCCGCGGUAAUACGUAGGUGGCAAGCGUUAUCCGGAAUUAUUGGGCGUAAAGCGCGCGUAGGCGGUUUUUUAAGUCUGAUGUGAAAGCCCACGGCUCAACCGUGGAGGGUCAUUGGAAACUGGAAAACUUGAGUGCAGAAGAGGAAAGUGGAAUUCCAUGUGUAGCGGUGAAAUGCGCAGAGAUAUGGAGGAACACCAGUGGCGAAGGCGACUUUCUGGUCUGUAACUGACGCUGAUGUGCGAAAGCGUGGGGAUCAAACAGGAUUAGAUACCCUGGUAGUCCACGCCGUAAACGAUGAGUGCUAAGUGUUAGGGGGUUUCCGCCCCUUAGUGCUGCAGCUAACGCAUUAAGCACUCCGCCUGGGGAGUACGACCGCAAGGUUGAAACUCAAAGGAAUUGACGGGGACCCGCACAAGCGGUGGAGCAUGUGGUUUAAUUCGAAGCAACGCGAAGAACCUUACCAAAUCUUGACAUCCUCUGACAACUCUAGAGAUAGAGCCUUCCCCUUCGGGGGACAAAGUGACAGGUGGUGCAUGGUUGUCGUCAGCUCGUGUCGUGAGAUGUUGGGUUAAGUCCCGCAACGAGCGCAACCCUUAAGCUUAGUUGCCAUCAUUAAGUUGGGCACUCUAAGUUGACUGCCGGUGGCAAACCGGAGGAAGGUGGGGAUGACGUCAAAUCAUCAUGCCCCUUAUGAUUUGGGCUACACACGUGCUACAAUGGACAAUACAAAGGGCAGCGAAACCGCGAGGUCAAGCAAAUCCCAUAAAGUUGUUCUCAGUUCGGAUUGUAGUCUGCAACUCGACUACAUGAAGCUGGAAUCGCUAGUAAUCGUAGAUCAGCAUGCUACGGUGAAUACGUUCCCGGGUCU
rnacentral:rRNA from 1 species